UUGGUUGUCAGUUUGUCUUUCUCUUCCUCAUCAGUAUGGACACCCAUUUUAGUAAAAGCGCCAAAUUUUUUCUUCAACUGGUGGUUGUUCUCAAUAUGGAAGACACCCAACGAGCCUGCACUGUAGAAAAAAGUUCAGAUUUUUUUGGAUGCUUCAUGAGAAAUUUUGGUUCUUGAUUCUUCUUAGUUCUUAAGCAUGCUUGAUUAGUAGAAAGGAAAUUGCAGGGAAAGAAAGUUCUGUAGCAAAAGUAGGCUAUAUAGUGACUAAUGGUAUGUAUAUUCAGAUACUUCUUUUUAGCUAGCUUUCAUGGUGGAAAAAGAAAAAAAAUGGGAAAUGCAAAGUGAUGAUGUGCUUUUUAGAACUGAUGCAUGUAGAGGAGUUUUACUUUGGAAAGUUGUGGUUUUGAAGCCCAAGAAGCAAAAGAAAGGAGUGAAGGACAGUAGAAGGUAGAAGCAUGCCAACAGUUUGGUUCUCUUUGAAGAGAUCUCUACAUUGCAAAUCAGAGCCAUCAGAAGUUCACGACCCAAAAUCGACAAAGCAUAUGAGUACAAUCUUGACGAGAAAAGCAGGAAGGUCUGGGUGUUCAAGGUCCAUAGCAAAUCUCAAAGAUGUCAUACAUGGAAGCAAAAGGCACAUGGAGAAGCCACCAAGUUGUAGUCCAAGAUCCAUUGGAAGCAGUGACUUUCUUAACCCAUUAACCCAUGAAGUUAUUUUAAGUAACUCAAGGUGUGAGCUCAAAAUCACAGGUUUUGGCGGGUUCCAAGAAGGGGUUGGUAGUGGUGUUAUUAGUCAUGGUAACAGCCAUAAUGGUGCUAGUGGUGGUAGUAACGGCGCUGUUGGUUCAACUUUUGUUGGUACUUUAAGGCAAGGAACCCCAGGACCUGGAGGACAUCCUACAAUGCACUAUUUCAACCCUUCAAUUAGGAACACAGCUACUCCUCCAAGAAAGUCUCAUUUUCUUUUAUCAGACAGAGAAGCGCCUGGAUUUGGAGGUUCUGGUAUAUUUGGUGCUGGUGGACAUUCAAGCAGUAGGGUCUCUCUUGAGACAAAGUUUAAUGGUUCUUCUACACUCACUUGCCAUAAAUGUGGAGAGCAGUUUAACAAAUGGGAAGCUGCUGAAAAUCAUCAUCUCUCCAAGCAUGCUGUCACCGAACUUGUGGAAGGUGACUCAUCACGAAAAAUUGUUGAAAUCAUAUGCCGAACGAGCUGGUUAAAGAGUGAAAACCAUUGUGGUCGAAUUGAAAGAGUGCUGAAGGUUCACAGCAUGCAAAAAACUCUAGCACGAUUUGAAGAAUAUAGAGAGAUGGUGAAAAUUAAGGCCAGCAAGCUCCCAAAGAAGCACCCUCGGUGCAUAGCUGAUGGGAAUGAGCUUUUGAGGUUUUAUGGCACGACUGUUGCAUGUUCUCUUGGCGUAAAUGGUUCCUCAAGUCUAUGUGUAUCUGAGAAAUGCUGUGUUUGUCGAAUUAUUCGAAAUGGGUUUUCAGUCAAGAAGGAGCUUAAAGGUGGAGUAGGUGUGUUCACAACUUCAACCAGUGGACGAGCUUUUGAGUGUAUUGAAAUAUUUGAAGAUGAUCCAUGUAUAAGGAAAGCUUUGAUAGUAUGCAGAGUGAUUGCUGGCAGGGUCCAUAGGCCUUUGGAGAAUAUACAAGAAAUAUCUAGCCAAACGGGAUUUGAUUCUUUGGCAGGGAAGGUUGGUCUCUAUUCAAAUAUUGAGGAGCUUUAUCUGCUCAAUCCUAAAGCUCUGCUUCCUUGCUUUGUGGGAGGAUCACGGACCCAUCUUUCCUCAGCAGAAAUUAGUGAGCUUAUGGAUAGAAAAUGUGAUGUGAAGAUGUGCAUUCUUACAAGAAUGAUAAAUUUUGUUGUCCACUAGCAUUACUCGGUUACUCUUUUCUUCUGGAGUUUCUCGUAGAUCCUCAUGGUGAAAAAGCAGCUAAUGUUCAAGACAUGAUCAAUGGGAGUCUGGCAAGUUUCAUCAACUACUUGUCUCCAUUUACCAGCUCCGUCUUUAGCAGUAAGAGUACUAAUGGAGGAUGUGAAGACAACUCUUUUCACAGUAUUGGAUUUGGAGCAAGAUGUGAGAAGGUUCAGCGUUCCUUCAAUCGCAGGGUCGAUAAUAUUACGCUGAACAUAAUUUUCUUCAAGUUUGCGAAGAAUGAAGAAACAAAGAGUAAGCCUACCCUUUCAUGUACGUAAUCACACUGAUUAAAGAACUUUAUAUUCUUCAGUUCCAGUUAAAAGAGGUGCUUGAGGGCAUUACCAUUGUCUUCAUUUCCAGCAACGUAGAAUUCCAUUGAAGCUGCUACAUGAAAUACACCAUCACAGCCCCUGACUGCCUCAUCAAAGCUGCCUUCUUCUCGCAGGUCAGCUUUGAAUAAUCUCAACCGGUCAGCUCCCCUCCACGAUGAUAAAAGAUCCAACGACUUAGCUGAAAAUUUAGAUUUGUCCAACUCGGGUUCAAUGAAAGUCUCACAAUGGAAGAGAAGGAAAAAGGAAAAGAAAGAAAUAGCUGGCCAACAUGAUUAGCGUAUUGUGACGUGCCCAUGACAUGAGUUGUGAAUAUUGCAGUUGCAGAAGAAAUAGCUGCACAUUCAAAGGAAGAGUCAUUACUGCACAGAGAUAGGUAGCUAGUAAUGACUAAUGAUCAUCUGUCUGCAUGGUAAAUCAUUGUUGCCUCCUUUCUAUUCAUUGUUAUUAGACCUUAGAUUUGCCAGAUGAGCCUAAAUUAACUCCAAAACAACGUUGUUUUAUUUAUUUUUUAAAUGAAAUUUGUUAUUUUGAAUAAAA